rnacentral:lncRNA from 1 species
CGCGGGGCACGCGGCCAGGGAGGGCGCGCGGCCUGGGGCGCGCGUCCGCCUCCACGCUACCCAGGAGGGUGCGCGGCUGGGGCGUGCGGCCAGGGCUCACGUCCUGGUGCGCGCAGCCGGGGCUCGCGGCCAGGGGCGUGCGGCCGCCUCCACGCCGGCUGCCUGACUCCGCGCCCGGCCGCCAUCGCGCCGGUUCUACCCUGGUUCUCGAGCUUCCCCGGCGAGUGGGCUCGACCCCAACACUUCGAUCCAGAUGGCGUCAGCAAGCACCGCGGUCGUGGAGUGUUGGAAGGCUGACCAAGAACAAAAGCUGCCAUGCUAGCGGAUAGUGCAGGCAGUGAAUGUCUCUGGUCUCAUCAAUGGUGUUGGCGAUGUUUUUUUAUCGGUAGCUCAUCUACGAGUGCUUUCUCGCUCUUGGUGUUGCUGCUUCUGAGUCUCACUAUGCUGAUUCGUGUGGAGACCCAGGAGGUAAGCAGUUGGUGCCAAGAUAAAAAAAAUCUAUACAUCCAGAUAAUAUUCAAUGCUUAUAUGGCAUGUCUUAUAGGAAACAUUGUUUCUUUACUUAUAACAAAGUAUAUAUGUCAUGUGUGAUACUACUCAGGUGCUCAACAUGGAGUUUGGUCAGAAAUUAUUUAGUGUCUAUGAUUAUUUUUAUAGCAGCUGAUAAUUAGCACAAGAACAUGAAUUGGAUUCUUCAUAGGAAUUUCAGGUGGAUAUCACCCUAAACUUUGUGAUUCAGAAGAAUCCCCAUGUGCUGGUUGCUCAGUAUAUAUCAAGUGGGACCUGGGUCCAGGGCUCAAUCUCAGUGAGGCAUUUAGAACAUUCUUCUGAGGCACAAUCUUGGGUUGGCAUUUAGCUAGAAGCUUUGCUUUCUUUAAUCCUAUAUUUAAUUAGCCUAAGCUUUGUCAUUUGUUUUUUGUCACUAGAACUGGAACUCAAUGUGUCACUUCUAUAUUCUUGCUGAAUUUUGUUGCAUCUAUGGAACAGGCAAGUCUUGAUAUAGGAAGGGGAAGGCAAGGCGAAGGACCUUGCGUCAUGUUUAUUGAAACCAGUGCCAAAGCUGGGUUUAACAAUAAGGUAGGCUUCAGAAAUAUAGGUUGCUACCAAAUAGUUUUAUAGCUGGUGCAGUUUUUUUGAUUUGUUUUCUGUCAUUUCAAUAAAUUUGUACUGUAUAAAACACUAUAUUGUGACUUGGGCAUCUAUAUUUUAUAUCACUAUUUACUUCAUCUUUAGCAUUCCAAUUUUUUAGUAUUCCAAAUCUUUAUCCGGAACUUGAGUUCUUUUCCAUGAUAUUCCAAGUCUAUGAAGCUAAUGAAAUAUUUGAUUUACUAUAAUGUCAGUGCUAUAUACGGUUGAACUGAAAAAUUGCCCUGCUACUGCUUGGAUUAAAAAUACACCGUUAUGCUGCAUAUAGAAUUAUAGAGUAUAGUUUUGGGUGCUCCAUAUCUCUGUCUUUCCUCUUUACCAUCUUUCUCUGAAUUUCUGCAGGGUAUGAGCAGACUCCCUAUGAUUUCAUUUCAUUGGUAGGAAUUAAAUCGCUUUUUUCUAUAUUAAGUCGGAGCGGCUGCUGCCAGGCGGCCAGCCAAAGCAACUGCAGAAAUAACCUAUGAAGAUCGACAAUUUAACGACUGCUUAAAAUUAACAAUGAUAACUACCCAGAGUAUGAGCCUCAAUUCCUUUUUACACUCUUUGUUGCUGCUUUUUUUCUUGCUUGGAAUAUACUGAAUAAAUUGUUGCAUCUCUAGACUUAAACCAAAUGUUUAUUGUCAAUAAUAUGCUGCUCCGGGCUUCUGGCUACUAUGGAACAUGUGAAGUCCUUCCUUGAUCCCAAAACCACUACCAAGAUACAUGUAAAUUUCCACUGAGGCACAGACUACAGAACUCUUUUUCUUUUUUUUUUGCUUGAUAACAUUGCUUAGUGUCUAAGAUAUUCUUAUGUUUUGCCAAAGUAAAGAACGGUGUCGCUUAUAAUUGGUCGUUAGGGUUUGUUUCAGUGAAUUUAUCCAUUACAACUUUAAAAACAACGGUGUUGUAGGCAUUUUCAGACUUCAGUUCAAUGCAGGUCGUUGAUUGAAUAGGAAGUCGGUGAUAUCCUGAAUCAUGAAUUUAUUUUUCGCUAUACUGUACUGAUGUGAAUUACUAACCUUGUGAAAAUUGUGCAGGUCAAGAAAUUUCUGAGUCACCUUCGAGAUGAGGUUGAUCUGCAUGUGGUGUUGCUGCACCUAUAUUGAAGCCUUCUAUGAAGCUUCCACACAAGGUGCGGCCUUGUGGGUUUUGCAUAACUCUGGUCACUAAUUUCACAUGUUUUCUUGUGCUUAUUCGAUGUAGGAUUGAUAUUUUGGCCAUACAUAUGAUACUAGGAUUAUCCCAUGAUAAUCAGUUGGACUACUAAAUAUUUGCUUUUCUUUUCUCUUCAGCUCAUGAUAUUUGAUAUGAGAGACAGUGAGGAGCAGUGUGUUUGGCUAUUGUUGACGGUCCUUAAUU